UACGGAGGGGGCAAGCGUUGUUCGGAGUCACUGGGCGUAAAGGGCGCGUAGGCGGUGCAUCAAGUCAGGCGUGAAAGCCCCGGGCUUAACCUGGGAAUUGCGCUUGAUACUGAUGCGCUAGAGAGCGGGAGAGGAUGGCGGAAUUCCCAGUGUAGAGGUGAAAUUCGUAGAUAUUGGGAAGAACACCGGUGGCGAAGGCGGUUCUCUGGGCAUGUUCUGGACGCUGAGGAGCGAAAGUGUGGGGAGCGAACAGGAUUAGAA
rnacentral:rRNA from 1 species